UUUAUAACACCAAAAACCUUCUAAUUUAGGGAAGUUGAAAUUUAUAUUGAAGGAGGGGUUUUGAAGGUUUUAGAGGGCUUAUAUAAAUUUUAAAAAUAUAAUUUACAUUGUUAUAAUAUUCGAAAAAUUAAAAAUAUAGUAAUGAUAUACACUCUUUUAUUAUUCUAUUCAAAAUCAUUUUUUUUAAAUAUCAAAUAUUUUCUUAUAAUUUUUUAAAAAUUCGUUUUCGAAAACCUUCCCCUUCCCUCCUCUCCAAACUCCCAAACAUAGUCUUAAACUCCUUGUUUUAAAAAGAAUUAACAGAUCUAAUGUAAGUUUGCAAUAAAAUAAAAUUUUGUUAACCCCAACAAGAAAUCAAAGUUUAAAAAUUAAAAACCAAUCAAAAUUUAAAAUGAGAAACAAAGUUAUGAUGUUAGAGUUUAAAAAGAAGUUGAAAACCAGCCAAUAGACGGAAGAAUCAUAAUUUACUAAUUUAUGAGAAAAAAGCAUGUGAGUGCAUGGGUGGUUGACCAUAUGGAUGUAUAAACGUGCGCGCACACGUGAGAGAGAAUAUUUUAAAAUGAGGCCCUCCAAUUUAAGAGAUUUUUGUACAAAAGGUUAAUUUGUUUUUAUAAUUUAAGAGAGAAUAUUGUUAAUUAUUCUUACCUAUAAUAUUUCGUGGGCUAACCAUUUAUUGUUCCUUUUCUAUCAGGAAAGUUAACAGAAAAAUCAAUAUUAAAUUGGAUACAAAUAUUGAUUCUUAUUAUUAUACAAUAUUUUAAGUGACCUAUUUACUAAGUAUGAUUAAGGAACAAUACAAUCUAUUAAUUCUCUUAGGAGACAUUAGUUUAAUUAUUUUUUUAUAUGAAGAGCUUAAGCUUUAUACAUUAUAAAAUGAUCAAAUAUUAUUCUAUCUAUCUACACAUCAAAAGAGAAAAAUAAAAUGAGUGCAAUUCUCAAGUUUAUGUACAUCGUGUUUAUAUAUCUUUUCCUAUUUAUUAUUGCAAAGACCAUUGAUGCCCGUCCCGAAUGUUUUGAUGAUUCUGAUUGUAAAAAGUGUGAAAUGCACAAAGUAUCGUGUAUUCGUGGUAUGUGUAAAUGUAUUGUGGGAUAUCCACGUGAUUUUUGAGUAACAAAUCAAAUAGAUGACAGAGAUAUUUGGAUUUUUGAAUGAAUGAAUAAGUAAUGUAUCUAAACAAGAAUUUAUGUUAUAUUGUAUUCUAAGACAAUAAAAAUAUAAAUAAAUAAGACAAGAAAAAGUAUUAAUAUUGUCA